rnacentral:rRNA from 1 species
GUGAUUUCUUAGAUCGUUGCAUCCCCUCGGGGAUGUGUGGAUAACUGUGGCAAUUCUAGAGCUAAUACAUGCAAUUAAGCUCCGACCCUCGGGGACGAGCGCACUUAUUAGACCAAGGCCAACCUGUGGGGCAACCUGCAGUUAGCUGUGGUGACUCUGGAUAAGCUCAGUUGUUCGCAUGACCUUUGUGUCGGCGACGUAUCUUUCAAGCGUAUGCCCUAUCAGCUGUCGACGGUAGGGUAGCGGCCUACCGUGGCUGUUACGGGUAACGGGGGAUCAGGGUCCGAUCCCGGAGAGUAUGCCUGAGAGACGGCUUACACAUCUAAGGAAGGCAGCAGGCGCGCAAAUUACCCAAUGGGGAAACCCUGAGGUAGUGACAAGAAAUAACAAUACACGACUCUUUCGAGGCCGUGUAAUUGGAAUGAGCACAUUCUAAAUCCUUUAGCGAGGAUCAAUUGGAGGGCAAGUCUGGUGCCAGCAGCCGCGGUAAUUCCAGCUCCAAUAGCGUAUAUUAAAGUUGUUGCAGUUAAAAAGCUCGUAGUUGACAAUCGGCGCUCGUCUCGGCGGUCCUGUUCACGCAGGUACUGCCUUGACGGCGCUUACACAUAGGCUCAUGAUUGUCGGCAUCUGGCAACGGGUGUCGGCGGUCAUAGCCC